AAAUUACCACAAGCCGCAUAGAAAUCCUCAAUCACGAAGCUCGCGAUCUCGUCGGAUUCCCUAGUGGAAAACCUCAACUCUGAGAUUAUCCAAAGCAUCACCGGAAUCCCGAUGCACAAGAUAUCUCGUCAAAGGUAAAACUAAUCCAGCAAGGCCGCCCGGCGUGUCGACGAUCCCGAUAGGAGCCGCGUAUCUCGUUCUCAGGACACGGCGGAUAAGCACAGCGUACGGUGGCCUGAUAGAAAUCUCCCGAGUUGCCCCGGGUUGGCCCCGCAAACGGCUCUAGUUUUGGACCAGCACCAACAGCACUGGCCCCCCUGUAUUAUGUGAAAUUACUCCUCGGGUUCAUGACGCCCUAUGCUUACAGUAUUAACAAGUUAUUAUG
rnacentral:lncRNA from 1 species